rnacentral:rRNA from 1 species
UACAGAGGUGGCAAGCGUUGUUCGGAAUUACUGGGCGUAAAGCGCGUGUAGGCAGUUUCGCAAGUCGGGUGUGAAAGCCCUGGGCUCAACCUAGGAAGUGCACUCGAAACUGCGAGACUUGAGUCCUGGAGAGGAAGGCGGAAUUCUCGGUGUAGAGGUGAAAUUCGUAGAUAUCGAGAGGAACACCGGUGGCGAAGGCGGCCUUCUGGACAGUGACUGACGCUGAGACGCGAAAGCGUGGGGAGCAAACAGG